UGGGGAAUAUUGCACAAUGGGCGCAAGCCUGAUGCAGCAACGCCGCGUGAGGGACGACGGCCUUCGGGUUGUAAACCUCUUUUAGUAGGGAAGAAGCGAAAGUGACGGUACCUGCAGAAAAAGCACCGGCUAACUACGUG
rnacentral:rRNA from 1 species